rnacentral:other from 1 species
CGUAUCCCAAAGUGUUCGUUUUUACUUUGUUUUUGAACCUACAUCAAUACUCAGGGAGUCUGAUUGUUCAGACGCAGAUGUUAGGCCGCGUUUUACCAGUGGAAAACAAAAACCGAUGACAAGACACCCACCUAGCUUUCGCUAGGGCGUCAAAAAUGAAGUACGGCACAUUGGGAUAGCA